CUUCUGUGCAACAAGUAAAUUUUCACUCUGAAGGCUGUGAUCCCCACAGAAGUAGCCUGCAAACUCAGGUAGCUUUUCUCACUCUUAAAAGGUCUUGAACACUCUUGCAGAGAAACACCAACAAAAAAGUGUAGUCAUCUGGGAAGAGAAGAGCCUGAGAGAAAAAUAACACUUGGACUGGCACCAGGAGGGUCUGUGCAACAUUCACUUGCCUGCAGUGGCUCCUGUGAGCCCCAGUAAGACCACCCACAGCAGUGAAUCAAUGAGAAUCCUGACCAAAACUCCAAGCAAUCCUGAAAAGAAGCUACAAAAAUGGAAAGCAGGGAUGGAACCAACACAUUUCAACCAAGUCCUUUGUGCCAGGAGCUUGGAUUAUACUCUUCUCUGUUCCAUUGACUUCUGGAAUGGCAUCAGAAGGAAGACAUUUUACCAACAAUUCUCUGACCUGCUCUGGAUCCCUGGAACCCACAUCUGUCUCUCUGCCCCUAACCAAUCUCUAUCUCUCUCCUUUUUCCCCCCUUCCUUCUUCUCUCCCUUCUGUCAUUCCUUUCUUCCCCCUCCUUUUCUGGCCGCAAUGCAAAGAAUAGUCUUUGCUUUGCUGUGUGUCAUCUGCAUUGGUGUUUCACCUCACUCCAGACACAAAAUUAUGGAGCCCAAACACCAUCCAAGAAACUCCUGAAACCAUGGUUGAAAAUACUACAUCCCAUUUAGUUUGUUUAGUGACGGACAGUUCCAUAAACUAUCCCAUGGGAUCUGACUGUUUGAACAGCUGAGGCUGCCGUAUUUCUAGGUAAAUAACUGCCUUCGCAUCUCAGUUGGGGUCUUGGGACUCUGUGGUCUGAAACAAAACACAAUAUAGUAAAUGGAAGAGAUGGGACCCCUGGGACAGAAAGGGCAUCUUUAGAGAUGACCCACCACUCUCCCAGCCCAUCCUGGUAACUGAACUGCAAAGUCGACUUCUAAAGGCCUUCAACUGUAGCAGAAUACUGAAACAACAUCCUCACGAUACCUCCUUAAAAAACAACAUCCUCACGAUACCUCCUUAAAAACAACAUCCUCACGAUACCUCCUUAAAAACAACAUCCUCACGAUACCUCCUUAAAAACAACAUCCUCACGAUACCUCCUUAAAAAAUUCCUCACAGCACCGCGCUCACCAGGAAAAGACAUUGUGUUUGUUCUCUGGAUGUCUCAAAGUGGCACUGCCCAGUCCUGUUGCCCCUUUAGUCCUAAAGUAUGUGUAUUUUUCUCCCUCCAGCUUAGCUCCUUGCAGGUGUCAUGAUGGAGGAGAGGCCAGAAGUGGCAAUAAUUAUCCUGUCCCAUAGAUGUCACCUUUUCUUCCCAGGCUAGAAGGCAGAGAGGGAUGAGCUGUGACAUCCAGCGAAGAGACAUGAGAUUUAUAACUACAGGUUUUUCAGGCUGAAAACGAAAGGGGAGAAAUGGUGGGGCAGGCAAAAUUCCCAUGGGGCAUAUCCCAGCGUGGCACAUCAGUAAAUCACUUACAGCCGGGAGUGAUUCACAGCCGCAGAUGGAGCUGGAAAGAGUUCAGCCCUGGGGGCCAAUAUCAUCAUAAUUUGGUGUUCCUAUAGGUCUUAAAUCUAAUUUGUUUUCAAAGAGCACUUGGCAAAGGUUUAGAAUGAUCAAUAUUAGAAGAUUGAUGCAGGAGCCAAUGCUGGUGCUGUUUAACAGGUUCUGGCUUACUCCGCCUGCCAUGUUGUCAACACUCCUUGGGUCAUCCUCCCUGGAGUAGGAUCACCAUAGAGGUUUCCUGAAAGGACAAAAUUGACUUAAGACAUAAGGGGAUCUACAUCAGUGAUGAUGUCCCCAGUGAUCUCAGAGUGGAGAGCUGGGAACUUCGUAAAAUGGUAUUCUAACCCUAGAAAACUUGGUCACUUGCCCUCACCCAAUUUUUUGGCACACAUGUACGUGUUCAUGUGUGUGUGUGUGUGUGUGUGUGUGUGUGUGUGUGUGUGUGUGUGUGUGAACGAGUGUGUAAAUUAGCAGUCAAGCCAACACGAGCACAACUGGGAUAACCAGGAAGAACACUCCGUCCCAGAGCACCUACCAGAACAGGUUGUUUCCAAUGUCUCUGCUUCUACUGCAGCAGCGCCCAGAGUGAAAUAAAAACCCCAAAGGAAAAAGUGGUAGGCCGGGCUGGGAAGCCCACUCAUUCUUCUCUCCUCCGGGGGAGGAUCAGAAAGGAUGGUUUUCUGGGACUGUCAAACUAUUUUUAUUUUUACUUCAUGUGCACUGGGGUGUAGGUGGGGAAGGACUCAGUUUUCUUUAGGGGCCUGGCCAUUGGGAGUUUAGCCAUGCAUGAACUACACAAACUGGACUUGGGCUGCUGCUUCUUCUUCUUCUUCUUCUUCUUCUUCUUCUUCUUCUUCUUCUUCUUCUUCUUCUUCUUCUUCUUCUUCUUCUUCUUCUUCUUCUUCUUCCUCCUCCUCCUCCUCCUCCUCCUCCUCCUCUUCUUCCUCUUCCUCCUCUUCUUCCUCUUCCUCCUCUUCUUCCUCCUCCUCCUCCUCUUCUUCUUCUUUUCACUUCUUUUCUACUACUUCUUCUUCACUUCUUUUUCUACUUCAUCAUUUUCUCCUCCUCAUCAUCAUCCUUCUCUUCCUUCUCUUCUUCCUCCUCCCUUUCCUCUUCCUCUUCCUCUUCUUCCUUCUCCUCCUCUUCCUCCUCCCCCUCCUCUUCCUUCUCUUCCUCUUCCUCCUCCUCAAUUUUCCUCCCCCUCUUCUUUUUUGGUGGGGAGGGGAGCACAAGAUUGAGGGAGCUGACUUGGGAGGACUGGGAAGUGAGUGUGAUCGAGGUUCAUGAUGUGAAAUUAAAAAUAAUCCAUUUUUUAAAGUUAUGAAGAAAAGGCUCUGGGCAAUGAAGGAAGGGAGGCAUGACUACAAAGGCUGAUGGGCAUGGGAUGCUGGCUUCUCCACUCUCUUGUCUUCACUGCUAUCGCUCUCACAUCAGAUUUCCACACACUGUGUAGUGCAUAAAAGCAGAGCCACAGGGGCUGGGGAUUUAGCUCAGUGGUAGAGCGCUUACCUAGGAAGCACAAGGCCCUGGGUUCAGUACCCAGCUCCGAAAAAAAGAACCAAAAAAAAAAAAAAAAAAGCAGAGCCACAGACAUUUCUCAGAAAUAUGUCCGAAUGUUUUUGUAGAGAGCCGGUUGCAAGCACAUCUUUUAUUAGCCUCUAUUUAGCUUGGACUGCCUUUGCCUGCUUGACAUUGUGAGUUUCUGUGUGUGAGCAUAGUUAAGAGUGCACAGCUCAUGUGGGCUGUGAGAGCUCUUUUGAUUUCAGGAGUGACAGUUCUUCUGGAAAUAACAGUCCUAACCUCCAUCAUCUUUACUGUCUGACUUUAGACCUCAACACUUUUUUAUACACUGGGAUUUCUUCUGUUGUAAAACAAAGACCACUUUCUUCCUUGCAGCAUUGAUGCAGUGGUAAAUAGGACAAAGGCCAGCGCUGCUCGGAGAUAAAUACUGCUUAUCAAGUGCUGUCAACACUCGGCAGAAGACUCUUGGUUGGGAUUGUGGUUUUAGGGACAGGGUAUUUGAAUCCCAUUUGCUUAGCUGACUAAUUAAUCUGUCCCUUUGAUAACUGACAACACUGGUUAGAGUUUUAUCCAUAUAGAGGAGAGACACAUUAAUAGUAGCUUGGGAAGAAAAAGACCACCAACGAAAACCCGUUAGGCAGCUGGUGCAUAAGCCAGUUAUAAGGCAAAAACCCUUCUUGAGAAAUAAAUUAUGCGAAUAAAUGUAUUUUUCCUUGAUGCCAGCCCUGCUUUGAUUUCCCACUCCAGCAAAGGGAAAUCAUCACAAACUCUAAAACAAGGCUACCUCGCCUUCCUUCCAUUCUAGCUUAGGCCACAGGGUCGGGCAUUGCUUGGGUAAGGUACUUGAUUUUCAGACUUGGUUGCCUGAUCUUUAAGAGGAAGCAAAUACUAACAGGUGCCUCGCUGAACUGUCCUGAACAACAGAGGACGUGGAUGUGUAGCGUUCAGAAUAGUUCUUUCCUGGAAGUGAGCAUAGCAUACUUCUUCUUGGCCACAUCAGGGAUACAAGUGGAACAAUGUGGCUCACGGCCCCUAGAGGACAGCAGAGCAAUAAUUACAGACACGAACAGUGACAGAGGCAUAUCAGUUAUCAAAGAGGAUGCACCCUCUAAGGAGAAAGCAGGUGAGGAGAAGGCUGCUCCUUGCCAUGAAACACGGAAGUUGAGCUAGGGACCAUGCACACCUUGGUUAGGGAAGCCAUCAUAAUAGCCCGAAUAAUCAGUGUAAGGAAAGUUAAGGACAUAGGCCAGUGCCCUGACAGGAAGAAUCCAGGAACGGCUGAGACACACUUCUGCAAAGGCGUCACCAGAGGUCCAUCCAGUUGACCUUGGCUGUUGAGGCUGUGGACCGUGCUGCUCUGUCUCUCUGGGACCUGGGUUUUCUCACAGCACACCAGCUGGGUUACGAGAAUGAGUAACAAAUUAAGGACAGACAGAAACCACAUCACACCGUGUGGCCCAGCCUCUGACAAGAUGAAGGUCACAAAUCUGCCUCUUCUGAGGGGCACAGGGUACAGACCCCACUUACUCUGUGGUUUUUGUUUUGUUUUGUUUUGUUUUGUUUCAGUUUGCUCUGUCAUAG
ensembl:lncRNA